rnacentral:rRNA from 1 species
GAUGAACGCUGGCGGCGUGCCUAAUACAUGCAAGUCGAGCGAACAGACGAGGAGCUUGCUCCUCUGACGUUAGCGGCGGACGGGUGAGUAACACGUGGAUAACCUACCUAUAAGACUGGGAUAACUUCGGGAAACCGGAGCUAAUACCGGAUAAUAUAUUGAACCGCAUGGUUCAUUAGUGAAAGACGGUUUUGCUGUCACUUAUAGAUGGAUCCGCGCCGCAUUAGCUAGUUGGUAAGGUAACGGCUUACCAAGGCAACGAUGCGUAGCCGACCUGAGAGGGUGAUCGGCCACACUGGAACUGAGACACGGUCCAGACUCCUACGGGGGGCAGCAGUAGGGAAUCUUCCGCAAUGGGGGAAAGCCUGACGGAGCAAAGCCGCGUGAGGGAUGAAGGUCCUCGGAUCGUAAAACUCUGUUAUUAGGGAAGAACAAAUGUUUAAGUAACCAUGCACGUCUUGACGGUACCUAAUCAGAAAGCCACGGCUAACUACGUG